GCCUGAGUGGCUCAGUUGGUUAAGCGUCUGACUUGGACUCAGGUUAUUAUCUCACCGUUCGUGUGUUCCAGCCCCACGUCGGGCU
rnacentral:tRNA from 1 species